rnacentral:lncRNA from 1 species
AUGUGUCCCCUGUUGACAAAAAAAUCAUGAAAUUUCAAACACCCUUUAAUCACACUUUUCAGAUGAUUUUUCUCAAAACAAACACGUUUUUAAGCUAAGAAUAUUUUGCAUUUGAAGUUAUCUUCAUAUAGAAAUAUCAAUAUACCUCAAAAACACAAAGACCUGAACAUAAACUGAAAAAAACAUGGAAAGAUAUGGCGAAAAUGAGCACCCA